CCUGCUCAUCGAGUUGCCUCUUAAGUUCCUUCAGCUCUUCUGGACCCAAUUUGUAUGGCCGUUUGCACACAGGCUCAGUACCUGGUUCAAGCUCAAUAACAAAUUCAACUUCUCAGUGCGGAGGCAUUCCUGGCAGCUCUUCUGGAAACACAUCUUCAUAUUCGCAGACCACUGGGACUUGCGAAAUAGGAUUAAUCUCACCCUU
rnacentral:lncRNA from 1 species